GUCACCUCUUUCCACGUUACCUUUCAUCUUUACCAAAUCGAUUAAACGUCUCGAUUCUUCUUGAACCCUAAAUCGUUAAUCAGAAAUCGAUCGCAUGACAACAACAGCGCUCUAACCUGGCACCCAUCUCCUCCUUCGCAAGCCCUAAGUUCUCCUUCUUUUUGACCACCAGAUCUCCUCAGCGUGUCAUCUUUAAAGUCGGGUUUGCCGAGCCUCGAUUUUGCCUUCACACAAUGGGCAGAAGUUGGAUUGUUGAUGGUAGAGCUAUUGCAUAAAAGGUUGAAACCUGUAGUCCGCCUUUGGUAAAUCAAGUCAAAGACUGGAGCAAUUCAGGAUUGACCACGAUGCCAUUUCAGGAUUGAUAGUAGUGAUGUAUGAGUAGAGUAGUGGCCUGGGCUUCCCAUUGGUGUGAAAUUUGAACCCACUGAUCUGAUCUUGCGUUUUUAGAAAAUUCGACAGCCAAAUGUGGUGUGGGGAAUCAAAAACCACACCAAUUAAUUGAUGAGUUCAUCCCUACACUUGAUGUAGAUGAAGGAAUAUGUUCCAAACAUCCUGAAAAUCUUCCUGGUGAGAAGAGUGCUUAUGAUGCAAUGUUUUCAAUAAUUAGUAGAGCUGGAAUACUUGGCGGAUUAGGCAAUGGGUGAAAAUGGGAUAGUGAUGUUGAGAAAAUAUUAUAUGGACUCAGCUAUAUAGGAGCAACUAAUGCAUCAUUGUUGGGGGUGAGAUGGACAAACUUGCAAUUGAAGAACCAGGUUUAAAGAACCAUGGUGUUCCUCAAAAGUUUCUUACAAGGAUUUACCAUCUCAAAAACAGGUUUUAGUUUAAUUUUAAGUUCAAAUUAGAUCAUUUUAUAUUAUUAUGUUAGAUAGUAACAUAAAGUUUUGGUAAAUAUUAGGAUUACGGAUUUGAGAGUUAUACAAUUUAAUAAAUACAUAUCGGAUAUUAAUGUGUUUUCCUAAUAUCUUGAUUUGC
rnacentral:lncRNA from 1 species